rnacentral:lncRNA from 1 species
GGCUGGGAGCAGCGCAGCCUCGGGAGGAGGAGGCGGAGGCGGGGGCGACUGGGGAGGCGGAGAUGGGACCAGAAAUUUCGUUCAACCCUAUCUGGUGCAUCUUUGGCAGAAAGUGAGGACAACACCAUUGUUCUUUGGCAUGGACACAAGUUCAGUGGGAACAUUAGAACUGACUGAUCAAAGUCCCGUUUUAUUAGGAAGCACAGCCAUGGCAACUAGUCUCACGAACGUAGGAAAUUCAUUUAGUGGCCCACCUAAUCCUUUAGUGUCUAGAUCUAGUAAGUUCCAGAAUUCAUCAGUGGAAGAUGAUGAUGAUGUUGUUUUUAUUGAACCCGUACAACCUCCUCCAUCUUCUGCACCUUUGGUUGCUGAUCAAAG